rnacentral:rRNA from 1 species
GACGAACGCUGGCGGCGUGCCUAAUACAUGCAAGUAGGACGCACAGUUUAUACCGUAGCUUGCUACACCAUAGACUGUGAGUUGCGAACGGGUGAGUAACGCGUAGGUAACCUGCCUGGUAGCGGGGGAUAACUAUUGGAAACGAUAGCUAAUACCGCAUAAUAUUAAUUAUUGCAUGAUAAUUAAUUGAAAGGUGCAAUUGCACCACUACCAGAUGGACCUGCGUUGUAUUAGCUAGUAGGUGAGGUAACGGCUCACCUAGGCGACGAUACAUAGCCGACCUGAGAGGGUGGUCGGCCACACUGGGACUGGGACACGGCCCAGACUCCUACGGGAGGCAGCAGUAGGGAAUCUUCGGCAAUGGACGAAAGUCUGACCGAGCAACGCCGCGUGAGUGAAGAAGGUUUUCGGAUCGUAAAGCUCUGUUGUAAGAGAAGAACGGGUGUGAGAGUGGAAAGUUCACACUGUGACGGUAUCUUACCAGAAAGGGACGGCUAACUACGUG